rnacentral:tRNA from 1 species
UGGCCCCGUAGCUCAGUUGGUUAGAGCGCCGCCCUGUCACGGCGGAGGUCACCGGUUCAAGUCCGGCCGGGUCGC